rnacentral:misc_RNA from 1 species
CCCUCUGCGUCGUGUGCGAAGGAUCAAGAAUCGACCGUCAGUCGGAUUACUAAUCAUUUCCCGGGUCCGAGAAACCUCGCUAAUUGAUUAAAGUCACGAUCCUGACCCUGCCGUAAUAUCGGCAAUCUCUCCUCUCGGCGCACACUGGGGAGAAAGGUGGUGUACAUGGAGGAAAGGGACAGGGAGGAAAGCAGAGAGGGAGAGGAAGAGAGAGAGAGCAAGAGAGAGAGAGAGAGAGAGAGAGAGAAGGAGAGUCGAAGCGCAAGACGAAAAAGAAACGGCACGAGAUAAAAGAGUAGACUUUGCACACGCUCUCUCCUCCCCAUAUAUCGGCCUCUAUCGAGAAUUUCCUAACAACACCGAUUCACCCGCGAUCCCUGCGCGCAAUUACCGCGUCGUUUAAUCGAUCGCUCGAUCGACGAUCCUGUAGUCUCGCGUCGGACGUUUCCGGGACCGAGCUUUCUAUCCGAGUCUGCCUGUAUAGAGGUUCUACGCGAAUCCUCGCGAUCCGUCCGGCGACGGAUAAAUAUUUGCCCGGCGAAAAUUAUCGAGCGAAGAGAUCGUUCCGGCGGAGGAUCUUGGAAACGCGCGGCAAGGGCAACGUUAAGAGGCGAUUCGCGAUUCGCGCUCUUGUCGUACGUUUAAACGGCGCAAAACGCUCGAAAGGAGUCGUUUCGUAUUCCCACGGGUCGUCGCGUUUUACGAACUAAUCCUAGUGGUAAACGAGCCGAGGCGAUUACGUUUUCCGAUUUUCGAGUUUCGCUGGAGAAUUUUCCGCGGUACGACGAUAUCGAGUAAGUUAAGUACGCGCGAGGCCAGGAUUCGUUUUCCAAGCUACCGCGAGACCGAGGACGAAAGAACGGACGGACACAGUUCCACUAAACGUACCUUCUUCUCGGCCAGUCGCAAUUAA